UGUUAACCUUGUUUUUGGAGUAAAACACGGUGGAAGCUGAAUUAGUGAGGAUGACUCCUGCUCCUGUCAUCUCUAAGCUCCUCACACAUCUUUACCUGCACAUGAGGAAAAUCACUCCUGUAGAAUGCAGAUGUUCAGAGGGAGAUGAUGCCACAUCUGGUCCAGCUGAUGGAAGGUCUUGAAGUUCUCUGACUGGCCUUGACUGAAGAUGGUCGUCUCACUGGAUUUAAGGUUCAGAUGCUCAGUAACAAACUCCACCAAUGAGCCAGCAGGGAAGCUUUAGGUUUAUUAAAUGUUGCUAUGAAGGUUUCGCUGUUUUUCUUUGUGAAUGCAAUGUGCUCCAACUGAAACUUGAAUUAGAACGUAGAAGUAAAUCCUUCGAUCUGAAAGGAUUUAGUUGCAUUAAUGACCUCAUAACAUUCUAAUGUUUAUUCCAGUCUUAGUUGGAAAUACAAUCUCUGUAUUGAUUCAGGUAAAAACUGAACUUCACAGCAUGUUGGAGCAAAACAACCAGAUGAAAACUGUGAUGGUGUUGGAUUGUCAGACUGUAAUGUUGCAGCUCAAAGCAGCUUUUCUAUCUCAGUUCAUUCUGACAUUCAGCUAUGAAUCAACACAGCAGAUGGUGAUCCAUGCUGUGGAAGUCUCACAUCUCCUGAUUUAAUGGAGCUGCUUUGCACUUUUUACACUGUUUAUUCACCAACACUUUAUUUAAUAAAAGUCCCAUCUAGUUUUCAUGAGGAAUGUGAUGUUUUAAUUUCUCUGUGAAUAACUGCAGUCUAAUGCAACAGCUGGAGUUGUAACAUCUGUCCUGAUAUUGAUCAUGAAGUAUUGAUCAGAAUACUUAUGGUUUGCAGUCAUCCCUGAAGUUUUACAUUAAAAUCUUUACUUGUGUUGUGAACUUUGGUAAGAAGCAGAAACGUUAGUGUUGCCAUGGAUACAUGAGUGUUAAAUUCUGUCCAUGUUUCAUUUUGGGAAAUGCAGUCCAGUUCCAGAAUUUGGAGGAAUUUAGUCUCACGAUCACAGACAACAAAUAUUAUCUGAAAGUCGGGUUAUUGUUGUUUAUCAGCACAAUACAAAAAGAUUAAUGUUAGAAAUAUUCCAGUUAAGACUCUAGAAUAUCAUGAUUUAUGUAAAUUUACCUCAAUAAUAUGAAUGUUCAGGUUAAGAUUGUACAGUGAUAUUUAUUAUGUAAGUUUAGCUGAUUAAAGUUUAUGACUCUGCACUAAAAUAUUAUUUAAAUUGACAUCAUUAUUAUAAUAUUUAGGGUCAGACCCUACAGUAUUGAGAUUAAGAAAUCAAAUAUUCUAUAAAAUGUAAAUACACUGAACUCAUUUGGAUAUAUUUAAGUGAGACUCUACAAUAUUAUUUGACACAAAUCUGUCUAAGUCAAAAUUUUAAUAAUUUUCACACCAAAC
ensembl:lncRNA